rnacentral:rRNA from 1 species
AGUGAACGCUGGCGGUAGGCCUAACACAUGCAAGUCGAACGGCAGCACAGUAAGAGCUUGCUCUUACGGGUGGCGAGUGGCGGACGGGUGAGGAAUACAUCGGAAUCUACUUUUUCGUGGGGGAUAACGUAGGGAAACUUACGCUAAUACCGCAUACGACCUACGGGUGAAAGCAGGGGAUCUUCGGACCUUGCGCGAUUGAAUGAGCCGAUGUCGGAUUAGCUAGUUGGCGGGGUAAAGGCCCACCAAGGCGACGAUCCGUAGCUGGUCUGAGAGGAUGAGUCGAGAAAGUGGAACGAAGACAAGGGCGAGAAUCCUACGGGAGGCAGCAGCGGGGGAGAGUGAACAAUGGGCGCAAUCCUGAUCCAGACAUACCGCGUAGGUAAAGAAGGCCUUCGGGUUCUAAAGCCUUUUUGCUGAGAAAGAAAAGAAGCAGGUUAAUACCCCGCGGCUCUGACGGUACCCAAAGAAUAAGCACCGGCUAACUUCGUG